GGAGAGUUGGCAGAGAGGUUGAAUGCACCAUUUUCGAAAAAUGGAAUCUCUGAAAGGGGAUCACAGGUUCAAAUCCUGUACUCUCCG
rnacentral:tRNA from 1 species